rnacentral:rRNA from 1 species
ACGGCUCAGUAACACGUGGAUAAUCUGCCCUAAGGUCAGGCAUAACACCGGGAAACUGGUGAUAAUUCCUGAUAUACUAUAGAUACUGGAAUGUUCUGUGGUCAAAAGCUCCGGCGCCUUAGGAUGAAUCUGCGGCCUAUCAGGUCGUAGUGGGUGUAACGUACCUACUAGCCGACGACGGGUACGGGUUGUGAGAGCAAGAGCCCGGAGAUGGAUUCUGAGACAUGAAUCCAGGCCCUACGGGGCGCAGCAGGCGCGAAAACUUUACAAUGCGGGAAACCGCGAUAAGGGGACACUGAGUGCCAGCAUACAAUGUUGGCUGUCCGCAUGUAUAAAUAGCAUGUGUUAGCAAGGGCCGGGCAAGACCGGUGCCAGCCGCCGCGGUAACACCGGCGGCCCGAGUGGUGGCCACUAUUAUUGGGUCUAAAGGGUCCGUAGCCGGUUUGAUCAGUCUUCCGGGAAAUCUGACAGCUCAACUGUUAGGCUUCCGGGGGAUACUGUCAGACUUGGGACCGGGAGAGGUAAGAGGUACUACAGGGGUAGGAGUGAAAUCUUGUAAUCCUUGUGGGACCACCAGUGGCGAAGGCGUCUUACCAGAACGGAUCCGACGGUGAGGGACGAAAGCUGGGGGCACGAACCGGAUUAGAUACCCGGGUAGUCCCAGCCGUAAACGAUGCUCGCUAGGUGUCUGGGAUGGUGCGACCGUUUCAGGUGCCGCAGGGAAGCCGUGAAGCGAGCCACCUGGGAAGUACGGCCGCAAGGCUGAAACUUAAAGGAAUUGGCGGGGGAG